rnacentral:rRNA from 1 species
AUUGAACGCUGGCGGCAGGCUUAACACCUGCAAGUCGAACGAGUGGCGGACGGGUGAAUAAUGCUUGGGAAUCUAGUUUGUGGAGGGUGAUAACUACGGGAAACUGUAGCUAAUAUCGCGUACCAUAGGAUGAGCUCAAGUGGGAUUAGGGAGUUGGUGAGGUAAAGGCUCACCAAGACGACGAUCUCUAGCUGGUCUGAGAGGAUUACCAGCCAUACGGGGACUGAGACACGGCCCAGACUCCUACGGGAGGCAGCAGUGGGGAAUAUUGCGCAAUGGGGGCAACCUGACGCAGCCAUGCCGCGUGAAUGAAGAAGGCCUUCGGGUUGUAAAGUUCUUUCGGUAGCGAGGCGUUAACUACAGAAGAAGCACCGGCUAACUCCGUGCCAGCAGCCGCGGUAAUAC